rnacentral:misc_RNA from 1 species
GAUGAAGAACGCAGCGAAAUGCGAUACGUAAUGUGAAUUGCAGAAUUCAGUGAAUCAUCGAGUCUUUGAACGCACAUUGCGCCCUCUGGUAUUCCGGAGGGCAUGCCUGUCCGAGCGUCAUUGCUGCCCUCAAGCACGGCUUGUGUGUUGGGCCCCGCCCCCCGAUCCCGGGGGGCGGGCCCGAAGGGCAGCGGCGGCACCGCGUCCGGUCCUCGAGCGUAUGGGGCUUUGUCACCCGCUCUGUAGGCCCGGCCGGCGCUUGCCGAUCAACCAAACUUUUUUCCAGGUUGACCUCGGAUCAGGUAGGGAUACCCGCUGAACUUAAGCAUAUCAAUAAGCGGAGGA